GGCCCAGGUUGCCCAGAGAAGCUGUGGCUGCCCCAUCCCUGGAGGGGUUCAAGGCCAGGUUGGACGGGGCUUGGAGGAACCUGGGCUGGUGGGAGGUGUCCCUGCCCAGGGCAGGGGGUGGCACUGGGUGGGCUUUAUGGUCCCUUCCAACCCAAACCAUUCUGUGAUUCUAUGAUAUCGCUGUCAGUGAGUGUUUCUACUUCAUUACGCUGCAAUGGCAACUCUCACCAAAAUCCACAGGGGGGACGGGGCAGAGCAGAUCGCCCAGUACGAGAGAUCCGGAGCGACGCUCGGUGCCAGCACUUUAAGCCAACAACAAAAAAGAGUUGAAAGGCUCGGUUAGUUCAACAGUAAUCUUCAAAAAGAUUAUGAAGUGAACUCAUUAAAAGUUCAUGCCUCAGUUAUAAUGUUUUUUUCAUCAGGCUUUAUUAAAAGAAACAAGUAAAACCUUUGGUGACUGAAAAUAACCUUUCUCUAGUCUCCUGGUGGGGACUGGUAGUCAAAUGGCUAUUACACUUGAAAAACAUGUGUAAAGAGGAAGGGUGUUGCUGCGAUGAAUGCGAUCUCCUCUUGCUGUACAAACACUCCGUGUUGACUGUUGGCAACUCGGCCGGAGCCCGAGCCCAAACCUUUGUGCCGAUGCUCCGCGCUGCUUCCCGCGCUCUGCAGGCGUUGCUGGGAUCUGACUGGAGACACCGACGACGAAGACGCCCCCGUGCCCCCUCCAGAGCUCUCUGCUCUGCCCUCCUUCGGUGGCGUUGGAGCUGCUGCUAAGUGAAGAAUUAACUAUUCCCAUCGGACACGGUGCCAAAAGCAGAGACCACAGUGCAGUGAGUCGAGCAGAAGAACAUGGGGACCGGGGCACAUCUCUGCCCUCGCUGGCUCCCCAAGCCGGGGCAUCCCCGCACUCGUGGCUCUCCGAGGUGGUGACCCUCCACCCGGAGCAGAGCUUUGGGUCAAGCAACCCAUGGAGGAAAGGAAGGCUGCGGUGUCUGCGCAUCACCUGACGGAAAAGACCUGAGAAACAGGAGCUCAGACCCCUCAGAAAUCUUUCAAAGAGAAGCUACAGCUCUCCCUUUUCUCUUUUAAAAUUAACACGUCACACUCUGUGCAUGCUCAGCAGCCAAGUUCCCGAUAUCGUGUCCCCGUAGCCCAGAGGAACAGCACGGCAGCGCUGCUGGUUUAUAGAGGGCGAGAGCAGGACAAGCAGCCAGGGGUGCUCCCCUGGCCGUGGGCCACCAGCGCCGCGGGGACUGCCCCAGGGAGAGGUUUGCACGGAGAUUAUUGGCUUUAACAGCCACCAGAGCAUGUGUCACCCAUGAAUUUGUCUAAUCCUUCCUCGAGCACAGUUACACCGGCGGCUCCGCGGUGCUGUUUAAUCAGGAGCUGCGCAAGAGUUUGCUUUAAACCUCCCCCCUCGCCCUGUCAUCUGCAGGGUCCCUCGCCCUCCUUGCGAGAAGUGCAGCUCCCAGGGCGGAGCAGGGUGGAUUCUGGUGCUCCAGUUUGCGAAACCAACAGGGUUUUACAGAGGUAGGAGAGCGCAAAGUCUGGGAAAAACCCCAGGGGGGAUCUUCAGAAGUGCGUUUCCCACUGCAAGCCUGCACUAGCCACCGCUUCUUGAAAAACCCCAUCUUUACGCGUUCUUUAUUAUGUGUUUCCUGUGAACGAAUUUCUGGCUCAAAUUAG